UACAGAGGUCUCAAGCGUUGUUCGGAAUUACUGGGCGUAAAGCGUGCGCAGGCGGUCUGUUAAGACCGAUGUGAAAUCUCCCGGCUUAACUGGGAGGGUGCAUUAGAAACUGGAAUGCUAGAGGAUGGGAGAGGUAAGCGGAAUUCCUGGUGUAGCGGUGAAAUGCGUAGAUAUCAGGAGGAACACCUGUGGUGUAGACAGCUUACUGGACCAUUUCUGACGCUGAGACACGAAAGCGUGGGUAGCAAACAGG
rnacentral:rRNA from 1 species